rnacentral:rRNA from 1 species
UACGAAGGGGGCUAGCGUUGCUCGGAAUCACUGGGCGGAAAGCGCACGUAGGCGGAUCCUUAAGUCGGGGGUGAAAUCCUGGAGCUCAACUCCAGAACUGCCUUCGAUACUGAGGAUCUCGAGUCCGGGAGAGGUGAGUGGAACUGCGAGUGUAGAGGUGAAAUUCGUAGAUAUUCGCAAGAACACCAGUGGCGAAGGCGGCUCACUGGCCCGGUACUGACGCUGAGGUGCGAAAGCGUGGGGAGCAAACAGG